rnacentral:rRNA from 1 species
AAGCGUUGUUCGGAGUUACUGGGCGUUAAGGGCGUGUAGGCGGAUCUUUAAGUUUGGUGUGAAAUCUCCCGGCUCAACCGGGAGGGUGCGCCGAAUACUGAGGGACUAGAGUGUGGGAGAGGAAAGUGGAAUUCCUGGUGUAGCGGUGAAAUGCGUAGAUAUCAGGAGGAACACCGGUGGUGUAGACGGCUUUCUGGACCAUAACUGACGCUGAGACACGAAAGCGUGGGUAGCAAACAGG